UCAGCGGCAGUUUCAAAAUUGAAGAUUUGCAUAGUAAAGGGGUAUCAAUAGGAUUUUGAGCUACUAUGUAUGUCCUAUUUACCCACCGAACUGUCGUUAUUCAACUAUGACAAGGUAAAAUCGGUUUUGCAUUCUAUCACCCC